rnacentral:tRNA from 1 species
AAGGGAGACCUAAUUCCGGUAGGAGACGAAAAAAAGUAGUCCCAACCAAGAAUCAAUCCCAAAAGGUCGGAACGAGGUAUGAGGCUUUCAAACUAGGUUCUGGGUUCAUAAAAGACCUGAAUCAGGAACAAGGGCUAUUAGCUCAGGUGGUUAGAGCGCACCCCUGAUAAGGGUGAGGUCCCUGGUUCGAGUCCAGGAUGGCCCACCUGCACAGGUGGCAAAAACAAAGAAGCGAGGAAUCAGCACCUUAUCUUAUCUAUAUAUAAGAGAGAAUGCUGGCUCUGAGUAAAGAGUCCAGAGGAACCUUGAAAACUGCAUAGAGCUAGGUGAAAAAGCCAAAAAAGAAGACCGCAA